GAAAUUGAGAAAGUAUUUGCAAAAAAAUAAAAUUCAAUCAACUUUCCAAUUACAUGCACAUUCACCUGGUUCUCUAGUGCUGCUAAUGUAUGCUGCUGCCCUUAGUAAACAAUGGUCUUACCUUACCCUCUUUGAUACAGCAAAAACCUUCCUUUGAUGCUGCCUUCCAUUUUGUUUUGCUAAAGCACUAGUGAUUGAAGAAGCUGCUUUGGUCAAUUAAACUUUUCUUUGUGCUAACAACACUUUGCUAUAUUAGCAAACAUGUCUUUCAUUCCUAUACUGAGGUAUAAUUCGACCUUGUUUUCCUUUUUCUUCCAUUUGUUGUUUUAAAUGCAACACUUGCAGCAUGUAUUGGAGCACGGGAAGCCGCAUGAGCGCUCUAUUAUAAUUCAGGAACUAGCUGGGAAGAUUGUGCAAAUGAGCCAGCAGAAGUUUGCCUCUAAUGUUGUUGAGAAGUGUUUAACUUUUUGUAAUUCCAGUGAACGACAGCUACUGGUGAACGAGAUGCUUGGUACGACUGAUGAAAAUGAGCCUCUUCAGGCUAUGAUGAAAGAUCAGUUUGCAAAUUACGUUGUACAGAAAGUUUUGGAAACUUGUAGCGAUCAGCAACGCGAGCUGAUCAUGUCGAGGAUAAGAGUUCACUUGAAUGCUCUGAAGAAAUACACUUACGGAAAGCAUAUUGUCGCGCGUGUUGAAAAGCUAGUUGCUGCUGGGGAAAGAAGAAUUGCUGCUCAGUCCCUAAGUCCGGCUUAGUCUUGUAGGAAAGAAAGUUGUACAGCUAACUGAGGCUUAGUUUGAGCUACCUAUCUUCCUUUUCUUCCACAUCUAGUGUUUUAGCUCCAUACAUGUCUUCAAAGGUAUGGAGUAAAUUGCAAAUAAAGUUGUUACAUGUACUAGAGAACUGUAAAUUGUGUAGUUAAAACAUAAAAGCAGAUAUGCUGAAGCUCAGAUGUCAAAUAUUCGAGAUGGCUGUGCAGAGGAAGUCAAGUUUCCGGAGGGUGUAAAAAAUAUAAGACCGGCGAGGUAGUUUAUAUCAACGCGAUUGUACAAAUGUUGCCAUGUGGAGAGUUGAUGUUUAGGUGAGAACAGAAAUUUCAUGUAUGGUAUUGACAAUUUUCUUUUAUGGCUAGGUGUAUUUUCUUUCA